GGGCUUAGUGCCCGAGGCUACAGCUCUUUCUCUCCACCAUGUGAGAACACAGACGGAAAGGACCUUACCGGGACUAAACUGGCCAAUACCAUGAUCUUGGACUUCCCAGUAUCCAGACAGUGAGAAAUAGAGGUGCUGGAGGAGGAGCCCCUGGAAGACCAAUUAGGCCUGAGAUUCCUGUGGGCCUGGAGGCCAAGGGUGACCCUGGCCCUGGGGAGGGCAUUGCAGCUAGAAAGCAGUAGCUGAGACUACCCUGGGACACGGCACAGAGAACCUACUGACAGACUGAAUCUAGGAGGACCUGGGAGGACUCAAGGCCCUCUGCUGGGCCGAAGAGGACCCUUUACUGAUGGAAGAAAAUCUGGACAGCUGGGAGUCCCGUGAUUGUGUGAUCAGUGUGAGAUACCUGUGAAACCUCCAAGUGUAGACACUGAUUAGGUGUUUGGAGUCUAGUCAACUGCAGUAGUGAGAAGGUGAAAAAGUAGAACCUGGAGUUGGAUCUGUGACUGUGAACAAUCAACUGAG